rnacentral:rRNA from 1 species
AGCGAACGCUGGCGGCAGGCCUAACACAUGCAAGUCGAACGAACUCUUCGGAGUUAGUGGCGGACGGGUGAGUAACACGUGGGAACGUGCCUUUUGGUUCGGAAUACCUCAGGGAAACUUGUGCUAAUACCGAAUGUGCCCUUCGGGGGAAAGAUUUAUCGCCAUUAGAGCGGCCCGCGUCUGAUUAGCUAGUUGGUGAGGUAACGGCUCACCAAGGCGACGAUCAGUAGCUGGUCUGAGAGGAUGACCAGCCACACUGGGACUGGGACACGGCCCAGACUCCUACGGGAGGCAGCAGAGGGGAAUCUUGCGCAAUGGGCGAAAGCCUGACGCAGCCAUGCCGCGUGAAUGAUGAAGGUCUUAGGAUUGUAAAAUUCUUUCACCGGGGACGAUAAUGACGGUACCCGGAGAAGAAGCACCGGCUAACUUCGUG